rnacentral:tRNA from 1 species
UCCCUGGUGGCUCAGAUGGUAAAGAACCUGCCUGCAAUGCAGGAGACCCGGGUUCGAUCCCUGGCUCGGGAA